CCCUUAGAUGUUCUGGGCCGCACGCGCGUUACAAUGAAUCGUUCAACAGGUUUUCUUCCUGAGUCGAAAGGCUUGGGUAAUCCUUUAAAUACGGUUCGUGCUAGGGAUAGAUUUUUGCAAUUAUUAAUCUUGAACGAGGAAUAUUUAGUAAACGCAGGUCAUCAGCCUGCAUUGAUUACGUCCCUGCCCUUUGUACACACCGCCCGUCGCUCCUACCGAUUGAGUGGUCCGGUGAGGCUUUGGGAUCUGAGCGGAAAGAGCGUUUCGCUGUUUCUGCUCGGAAAACUCAGUCGAACCUUAUCAUUUAGAGGAAGGAGAAGUCGUAACA
rnacentral:rRNA from 1 species